rnacentral:rRNA from 1 species
AUGAAUUUUAAGCAACUUGAUCAUGAACAUGUUGCACAAGCUUGGGAGAGGAUGAAAUUAAUGAUACGUAAUUGCCCUACACAUGGUUUGAAUUUGUGGAUGAUCAUACAAAAAUUUUAUGCCGGAUUGAAUUUUGCUUCUAGAAAUCUUUUAGAUUCGGCCCUGGGAGGCACUUUUAUGGAAAUCACUUUAGGAGAAGCUACUAAACUCCUAGAUAAUAUUAUGGUUAAUUAUUCUCAAUGGCACACUGAAAGAUCUACUAAUAAAAAGGUCCAUGCAAUAGAAGAAAUUAAUGUUUUGAGUGGAAAGAUGGAUGAACUUAUGAAAUUAUUUGCUAAUAAAAAUGUUUCUUCUCAUCCUAAUGAUAUGCCUUUGUCUACUUUGAUUGAGAAUAAUAAUGAAUCUAUGGAUGUGAAUUUUGUUGGUAGGAAUAAUUUUGGUAACAACGCGUAUAGAGAAAACUUUAAUCCUAGGCAUUAUCCUAGUAAUUCUUCUAAUAAUUAUGGUAAUUCCUACAACAAUUCUUAUGGAAAUUUUAAUAAGACGCCUUCUGAAUUUGAUACUAGUGUUAAGGAGUUUAUGAAUUCGCAAAAGAAUUUCAAUGCUUUGCUUGAAGAAAAAUUGCUUAAAGUUGAUGAAUUGGCUAGGACGUUGAUAGAAUUUCUCUUGAUGUUGAUUCCUUGA